GAUGAAGAACGCAGCGAAAUGCGUUAAGUAGUGUGAAUUGCAGAAUUCAGUGAAUCAUCGAAUCUUUGAACGCACAUUGCGCCCUUUGGUAUUCCUUAGGGCAUGCCUGUUCGAGCGUCAUUUAAACCUUCAAGCUAAGCUUGGUGUUGGGUGACUGUCCGCUUCACUGCGGACUCGCCUCAAAAUUAUUGGCGGCCGGUACAUUGGCUUCGAGCGCAGCAGAAACGCGAACUCGGGCCCGUCGUAUUGGCUCCCAGAAGCUAUCUUCACAAUUUUGACCUCGGAUCAGGUAGGGAUACCCGCUGAACUUAAGCAUAUCAAUAAGCGGAGGA
rnacentral:misc_RNA from 1 species